UACGUAGGGUGCGAGCGUUGUCCGGAAUUAUUGGGCGUAAAGAGCUCGUAGGCGGCUUGUCGCGUCGGAUGUGAAAGCCCGGGGCUUAACUCCGGGUCUGCAUUCGGUACGGGCAGGCUAGAGUUCGGUAGGGGAGAUCGGAAUUCCUGGUGUAGCGGUGAAAUGCGCAGAUAUCAGGAGGAACACCGGUGGCGAAGGCGGAUCUCUGGGCCGAUACUGACGCUGAGGAGCGAAAGCGUGGGGAGCGAACAGG
rnacentral:rRNA from 1 species